rnacentral:rRNA from 1 species
AAAAGAAACCAACAGGGAUUGCCCUAGUAACGGCGAGUGAAGCGGCAACAGCUCAAAUUUGAAAUCUGGCGUCUUUGGCGUCCGAGUUGUAAUUUGCAGAGGGCGCUUUGGCAUUGCAGCGGUCCAAGUUCCUUGGAACAGGACGUCACAGAGGGUGAGAAUCCCGUACGUGGUCGCUAGCCUUUACCGUGUAAAGCCCCUUCGACGAGUCGAGUUGUUUGGGAAUGCAGCUCUAAAUGGGAGGUAAAUUUCUUCUAAAGCUAAAUACUGGCCAGAGACCGAUAGCGCACAAGUAGAGUGAUCGAAAGAUGAAAAGCACUUUGGAAAGAGAGUUAAAAAGCACGUGAAAUUGUUGAAAGGGAAGCGCUUGCAGCCAGACUUGCCUGUAGUUGCUCAUCCGGGUUUUUACCCGGUGCACUCUUCUACGGGCAGGCCAGCAUCAGUUUGGGCGGUUGGAUAAAGGUCUCUGUCAUGUACCUCCUCUCGGGGAGAUCUUAUAGGGGAGACGACAUGCAACCAGCCUGGACUGAGGUCCGCGCAUCUGCUAGGAUGCUGGCGUAAUGGCUGUAAGCGGCCCGUC